AGUGAACGCUGGCGGUAGGCCUAACACAUGCAAGUCGAACGGCAGCACAGUAAGAGCUUGCUCUUACGGGUGGCGAGUGGCGGACGGGUGAGGAAUACAUCGGAAUCUACUUUUUCGUGGGGGAUAACGUAGGGAAACUUACGCUAAUACCGCAUACGACCUACGGGUGAAAGCAGGGGAUCUUCGGACCUUGCGCGAUUGAAUGAGCCGAUGUCGGAUUAGCUAGUUGGCGGGGUAAAGGCCCACCAAGGCGACGAUCCGUAGCUGGUCUGAGAGGCUGAUCGGCCACACUGGAACUGAGACACGGUCCAGACUACUACGGGAGGCAGCAGUGGGAAAUAUUGGACAAUGGGCGCAAGCCUGAUCCAGCCAUACCGCGUGGGUGAAGAAGGCCUUCGGGUUGUAAAGCCCUUUUGUUGGGAAAGAAAAGCAGCAGGUUAAUACCCCGCUGUUCUGACGGUACCCAAAGAAUAAGCACCGGCUAACUUCGUG
rnacentral:rRNA from 1 species